UGGCGCUUGGAUUCGGAUCACUGGAUCGAACGCAUGAGAUGGGGCGUGGACGAGUGCUGGGAUGAGCGGACGAUCGGGAUGAAUGGGGCUGGGAGGUAAUCGCGGCUGGAUCCGGGCUGAGAACGGACGCGAUGGAGGAGGCUUGUGAACGGAUUGGAGGUGAAGCGGAAUAGGUGGGGGAGCGCGAUCUCUUCCGGACGACCGCUGGGAAGAUUCACGGGAUGCGGACGACGUGCGGAUGCUGGAAAUCCGGGAGAUCGCUGGGGAUGAAGCUUGGAGGCGAUCGCGGGCUGCUGGGAGGCGCUGAUCGCUGGGGGCUUCACGGGUGGCUCGCAGGAGGAUAGGCUGCACACGGAUGCUGUGGAGGAGGAGGGCGCUGAUCACGGCUGGGAUGAUGGAGAAAUGAAGCCGCGGACGCUGUGGAGGAGGCGGUGAUCGCACGGACGGCUGAAGAAGAAGGAGCUUUGAUCACGGAAGAAUAGCUUCGCGAACGCUGUGGAGGAAGCGGGCAGACGCGUGGGAAGAUGCUUGAAACGGGUUGCUGGGAUGUGAGGAAUCAGUGGAGGAGGGGUGGUUCUAUAUACACCCCCCCUAUUGCU
rnacentral:lncRNA from 1 species